UCUUCUCAUUACUGUGAUUUAAAAACGAGACUUACUUUACUGCUUCUUUUUAAAAUUAGCUGAUUCGGUUCAUGUUGAAAACGAUAACUAAUUCUUCGUCGGUUGCUCGUCUCUGUUACGCAAUAUCUCCAUCGGAUUGCAAAAAUCUUAAUCUACAAUGGAUCCGGAGGUUACAAAAACAGCCAGAGAAUCCCUAGAUUUGGCAUUUCACAUGUCGAACAUUCUUGACACAGGAAUUGACCGACACACACUCUCUGUGCUUAUUGCCUUGUGUGACUUGGGUCUAAAUCCAGAGGCACUAGCAGCUGUCGUGAAAGAACUGCAAAGGGAAAGGUUAUUUUCUACAGCAGCUCCUAAUGUUUCAUCAUCCACUCCAUGAAGUGUGCUUAUUGCCUUGUGUGAUUUGGGUCACGCAGUAGCAGCUGCGGUGAAAGAACUGCAAAGAGAAAGGUUAUUUUCUCCACCAACUCCUAAUGUCUUCAUCAUCCAUUCCAUAAAGAAGUUUCAAGUGUGAAUGAAAAUAAUAAGCUUUUAAUGUUUGUCAUUUUGAAAAUUAUAUAAGAUUUUUGUCCAUUUUAAUGCCAUGGAAUUUCCUGGAGUUUGGACGUUGUAGUGUAGGAUCGAAUAUAUUUUAAUAUAUUGAAUUGAAAUGCGUGUGGGAGUUUCUAUCCUAUCUCAUUAGUUGAUUGUAACACAAGCAUGGCUUGAAAUCUCAUUUUGGUUCUCUGUAGUUGUACCUUAUACUCGGACAGUUUAUAUAUUCCUAUCAGUCACUCAAUUUCUGAUUAUAA